rnacentral:rRNA from 1 species
UACAGGGGGCUCGAGCGUUAGUCGGAAUCACUGGGCUUAAAGGGUGCGUAGGCGGCUCGUCAAGUGCUUUGUGAAAUCCCACAGCUCAACUGUGGAACAGCAGGGCAAACUGACGAGCUUGAGGCAGGUAGGGGCCGGAAGAACAGUAGGUGGAGCGGUGAAAUGCGUAGAUAUCUACUGGAAUGCCGAUGGGGAAGCCGUCCGGCUGGGCCUGUCCUGACGCUGAGGCACGAAAGCGUGGGGAGCAAACAGG